AACGAACGCUGGCGGCAGGCCUAACACAUGCAAGUCGAGCGCACCUUCGGGUGAGCGGCGGACGGGUUAGUAACGCGUGGGAACGUGCCCUUCUCUACGGAAUAGCCUCUGGAAACGGAGAGUAAUACCGUAUACGAACAAUGGGGGAAAGAUUUAUCGGAGAAGGAUCGGCCCGCGUUGGAUUAGGUAGUUGGUGGGGUAACGGCCUACCAAGCCUACGAUCCAUAGCUGGUUUGAGAGGAUGAUCAGCAACACUGGGACUGAGACACGGCCCAGACUCCUACGGGAGGCAGCAGUGGGGAAUCUUAGACAAUGGGCGCAAGCCUGAUCUAGCCAUGCCGCGUGAGUGACGAAGGCCUUAGGGUCGUAAAGCUCUUUCGCCAGGGAUGAUAAUGACAGUACCUGGUAAAGAAACCCCGGCUAACUCCGUGCCAGCAAG
rnacentral:rRNA from 1 species